UACGGAGGGUGCGAGCGUUGUCCGGAAUCAUUGGGCGUAAAGGGCGCGUAGGUGGCCCGGUCAGCGUGCGGUGAAAGCUCGGGGCUCAACCCCGAGUCGGCCGUGCGAACUGCUGGGCUUGAGCACUGUAGAGGCAGGCGGAAUUCCGGGUGUAGCGGUGGAAUGCGCAGAUAUCAGGAGGAACACCAAUGGCGAAGGCAGCUCUCUGGUACGUGACUGACACUGAGACGCGAAAGCGUGGGGAGCGAACAGG
rnacentral:rRNA from 1 species